CCUAUUUUUCUCUUGAACUCCAUUUCUUCUCUCCUUCUCCAUAUCCCUUCUUCUUCUCGCAAAUCCAUGGAAGACCAUAACCAAGCCCGCGGGGUGAGCAUUCGUGAAGGCAGGGCACGAAGAGGCUUGCGAAGGCGGAGCUGGGUUGACGAUGGGCGCAAGGAUGGGGCUGGAUCUCUCGGAGUGGAACAGGAAUGGUUUCAACAUCUAUUUGGUUUUUAGUUGCAGAGAUUGUUUUUGUAAGGUUAAACUUAAACCUAUUUGAUAAAUUGCAGAGAUUAUUUUUUAGUUGCAAAGAUUAAUAUUUAGUUGCAUAAAUUUUUCUUGGUAAAGCUUGUUGAACCCAAAAUUUGCUGAGAAUUACAUGGUAAAUUGUAUUUGACUAUUUUGGCUUUAUUUAGCUCUUUGGUUUGACACUUUAGCUUAUCGAUUUUUUUUAAAAUUUUUGAGUCAUUAAUAGUAUGUUGGCUCAUCAAAAGUGGUUUGCUAACGCAUUUUACAUUCAGAUGUUCUGGGAUGAGGAUUUAUAGAUUGAGAACUUUAAUGGGUCAAUAUUGAUAUUUUUAUGUAUUAUAUGGUUUUUAUAAUUAGUAUGUUCUGGUGGUUUAUAUAUGUGCACAGAGAAUGAGAGUGGUGAGUUUGAUUAUGUGGAUGUGAGUGAGAAAGGACCACCACACUAGAGAGAGUUAAAGGAAGAAUGGAGGAUGAGAGUGAGUUUGAUUGUUGGUUUAGCUCUUAAAUUUUGGAUCCUUUCAUUCAUGAAUGCAAGUAUCAGUAAUGUGCAGGUAUAUAUAUAUAUAUAGUGCGGAAAAGAAAGUGAUGAAAUUUCAUGGUAAUUUGCAAGUACAUAUAUAUAAAUUACUAUGUUAUAAACUUCAAUAUAUAUUUUUUGGUCUCUUGUAUAUUUCUCAUCACUGAUUUUUAGUGCACUGAAACAGAAUGUUAUGAUUUAUACUACUGAAUGGUCAUAAAACUUUAAUUAAUCAUACAUGUGGCUCAUUAGAUAUAAUUGCAAUUAAGGUGUGUGUAGUAUAAAGUAUAUAGCAGAAGUUACCUAUUAUCAGUACUCUCAUCGCGUGUAUGAUUCCUUUGUCUUCGACAUUAAAUACAUAUGAGCACCAAAUAUAUAUAUAUAUAUAUACACAUACAUGUACAAGGAUAACACAUGCACACACGAAAGAGAGCGAAUGAUUAAAGAAGGUGUAGACAGUUUGUUAAGUUUUCUUGUGAUUGGAGAAUAGGACAAAUCAUUGGUUAAACUUCUCAUUUUUGUUUUAUUGAUUGCUUUCUUGCGUUCUGCUUACAACAGACUCUCUUUACCACAAAUAAAGACUAUGGAAAAGAAGCGAGAGAAGCACAAUGGGCUGCAACGCAGAGGACACUCCAUGGUCUUCAACCACCGGAAUCCACCCGAAAAAUGUAGUUACAAGGAGCUUUCAUAGAUUGCAGAACAAGCCAAGCGCCGGGCCGGGUGGCAAGGCUUAGGGAGUUGCAUACACUCAAGGGUCAUGUUGAGUCAAUGGUGAAGCUGAAAGGUACCUUUCCUAGCACACUCUCACUCUCACCAGGUAACUUCACGGUAGAAGGUAACAAGUAGUACCUCAGGAAUGUGUGAGACUGUUGAAACAAGUUUGCUUUUACAGCAUAGGGCAAAGGAAGUAGUACAAAUUCUUACUUUGUAAAGACUAUUGGUAAUGAGGGUGAGUACAAGGACAAGAAGAGGAAAUAUAUGUUGUAUGACAAUGAAUUUAGUGUUUUAUUUUAUUUGUAAUUUUUAUUAGAGUAAAUGAUUUUUUUUUAGUGGUUAAUUAUUUACUUUGUAAAUCUAGUUAUAUAUUUUUUAAGGUCAAGACGAUUAUGUUUAUAGACAGGGCUAUAUAAUUUUUGAG